rnacentral:rRNA from 1 species
UACGGAGGGUGCAAGCGUUUAUCCGGAUUUACUGGGUUUAAAGGGUGUGUAGGCGGACUUUUAAGUCAGCGGUGAAAUCUCCGGGCUCAACCCGGAAACUGCCAUUGAUACUAUUAGUCUUGAAUAUUGUUGAGGUAGGCGGGAACGGGUCAUGUAGCGGUGAAAUGCAUAGAUAUGACCCGGAACACCGAUGCGAAGGCAGCCUACUAAGCAAUUAUUGACGCUGAGGCACGGAAAGCGUGGGGAUCAA